ACAUGAAAUUUUUUGAUGAAACUAAUUGGGUUUUUUCUUAUGUUUUAAUGAAAAUAGUGAACCAAAGUUGUGGUUUGUUCUCAUUACUUUGUGACCUGGUGUUUUUAAAUAGAAUGCCCAUUAUUUGUUUUGAUAGGAUGCCCAUUAUAAGUGCAAGUAAUGAAGUAAAUGAUGAUUAAUUUUGAACUUGAAAGAAAAAUAUAAUCCAAACAACUCUAUAUUUUCAUGUAUGGAUUAACUAAUUUGGGUUGGAUUUGGCAGAUUUAUAAUGUUCUAUCUGAUGCUAGGAAAGCCGGUGGUACGUGGUUGCCUUCUUGAGCAGUAGUCUCAUUGGUUGGCGGUGAUGGGCGUGUGAGUGAAGAAAUUGGGACGAAUAGUAAUAACCAUUCAGAAUGCCAGCGUAUUAAGUACAAGUCUGAAUCCAGAAUUUUGUUGGUUGGUUCUGGAGCAGAUGAGCAAUCUGCUGGUUACGGCCCCCAUAAAACUAAUUACAAACAAAGCAGGUCAAGAUGGUUCAGCUGGGUUGAUCCAAAAUUCUUUUGUCCAAAACUGAUGGUUCCGAGUUAGGUCUGGGACAGGACAAGUAGUAACAUGUAUAGAGGAAAUGAGUUCUUGGAGGACUUGGGCAGUUUGGAACCAAGAAAACGGUGAAAAUCUUGUGUAAUUCGGUAUGAAGGGCGUAUGUUUGCAUUUACAUAGUUUUAGUUAUAUGUUAACAACUUUUCCAUUCUCAUCGCUAAUUAUGGUUAACUUUUAAC